GUGGGGAAUAUUGGACAAUGGGCGAAAGCCUGAUCCAGCCAUGCCGCGUGUGUGAAGAAGGUCUUCGGAUUGUAAAGCACUUUAAGUUGGGAGGAAGGGCAGUAAGUUAAUACCUUGCUGUUUUGACGUUACCGACAGAAUAAGCACCGGCUAACUUCGUGCCAGCAGCCGCGGUAAUACGAAGGGUGCAAGCGUUAAUCGGAAUUACUGGGCGUAAAGCGCGCGUAGGUGGUUUUGUAAGUUGGAGGUGAAAUCCCCGGGCUCAACCUGGGAACUGCCUCCAAAACUGAAUGACUAGAGUACGGUAGAGGGUAGUGGAAUUUCCUGUGUAGCGGUGAAAUGCGUAGAUAUAGGAAGGAACACCAGUGGCGAAGGCGACUACCUGGACUGAUACUGACACUGAGGUGCGAAAGCGUGGGGAGCAAACAGGAUUAGAAACCCCGGUAGUCC
rnacentral:rRNA from 1 species